rnacentral:hammerhead_ribozyme from 1 species
AUUCAACUGACGAGUCCUAAAUAGGACGUAAAGCGCGUCCUAGAU